AGAUUCCUCGGAGCUCGCGCGCGGACAGUACAAACCAUGCCACAACAUUUUACAAGACAAACUCAUCCUAACAACAAAGAAUACAAUGGAAAAAUAUGGUGUCUCUGCAGUAUACACCGGUGGAAACCUUCGAAUGAGAUACUGGAAUACUCCAACAUAGCUAAUGCAGGGGCCCGGAAGAGAGUGGGAAGAGAAUUGGUGGAAGGAUGGGAACCUUUUAGAGGGAGCAGAGAAGAAAAGGAUGGAAAAUGUUCGCGAGCCAUUAUAGGCCUCAAUGUGUUGUUACAACCACGAAGUGUAUUCACUUGACUGUGUGACUAGGCGGCACAUAACCCCCCGUGCAGGUCAUGCAUUCCGUGUGAAGACCCAACGCACAAGCAUUGCCUCGGGGGACCAAAUUUUAAUUUUUAUUUACUAGAGAUACCAUUAAAUAACAUAUACCUACA